rnacentral:rRNA from 1 species
GCCCGGACCAGGUCGAUUUGGAGGUUGUGCCCUUGAGGCGUGGCUUCCGGAGCUAACGCGUUAAAUCGACCGCCUGGGGAGUACGGCCGCAAGGUUAAAACUCAAAUGAAUUGACGGGGGCCCGCACAAGCGGUGGAGCAUGUGGUUUAAUUCGAUGCAACGCGAAGAACCUUACCUGGUCUUGACAUCCACAGAACUUUCCAGAGAUGGAUUGGUGCCUUCGGGAACUGUGAGACAGGUGCUGCAUGGCUGUCGUCAGCUCGUGUUGUGAAAUGUUGGGUUAAGUCCCGCAACGAGCGCAACCCUUAUCCUUUGUUGCCAGCGGUUAGGCCGGGAACUCAAAGGAGACUGCCAGUGAUAAACUGGAGGAAGGUGGGGAUGACGUCAAGUCAUCAUGGCCCUUACGACCAGGGCUACACACGUGCUACAAUGGCAUAUACAAAGAGAAGCGACCUCGCGAGAGCAAGCGGACCUCAUAAAGUAUGUCGUAGUCCGGAUUGGAGUCUGCAACUCGACUCCAUGAAGUCGGAAUCGCUAGUAAUCGUAGAUCAGAAUGCUACGGUGAAUACGUUCCCGGGCCUUGUACACACCGCCCGUCACACCAUGGGAGUGGGUUGCAAAAGAAGUAGGUAGCUUAACCUUCGGGAGGGCGCUUACCACUUUGUGAUUCAUGACUGGGGUGAAGUCGUACAGGGAAACCCCGAAAAAAAAAAAAAAAAAAAAAAAAAAAAAAAAAAAAAAGAACGGGGGGGGAACCCGAUGGGAAAGGGAGGG